GUAUAGGGGAGCCGCAGGGAAACCGAGUCUUAACUGGGCGUUAAGUUGCAGGGUAUAGACCCGAAACCCGGUGAUCUAGCCAUGGGCAGGUUGAAGGUUGGGUAACACUAACUGGAGGACCGAACCGACUAAUGUUGAAAAAUUAGCGGAUGACUUGUGGCUGGGGGUGAAAGGCCAAUCAAACCGGGAGAUAGCUGGUUCUCCCCGAAAGCUAUUUAGGUAGCGCCUCGUGAACUCAUCUUCGGGGGUAGAGCACUGUUUCGGCUAGGGGGUCAUCCCGACUUACCAACCCGAUGCAAACUACGAAUACCGAAGAAUGUUAUCACGGGAGACACACGGCGGGUGCUAACGUCCGUCGUGAAGAGGGAAACAACCCAGACCGCCAGCUAAGGUCCCAAAGUCAUGGUUAAGUGGGAAACGAUGUGGGAAGGCACAGACAGCCAGGAUGUUGGCUUAGAAGCAGCCAUCAUUUAAAGAAAGCGUAAUAGCUCACUGGUCGAGUCGGCCUGCGCGGAAGAUGUAACGGGGCUAAACC
rnacentral:rRNA from 1 species